AGACUAUAAAGCUGUACUCAAGUAACAGAGGGAGAGAUGAAUCUUUUGGGACUGCAGGGCAAAGGAUGAGGGUUCCUUGCAGCUCCGCAGAGUGAAGUAGCUUACAACACAGCAUGGUUUGGAAGAUGGAGGUGGGAUUCAAGCAAGAAGAAGCACUUUCAGAUCUGUCACAAUGUACUUCCUUUGUCAUCUAGUUAACGCUUGCAUAUCGAUCUUUGGAGGUGAAAAGCAAAGAAAAUAACCUUUUGGAUCAGCUAUCUCCAAGGAAAGGGAUGUUUGGAUAAUAA